rnacentral:rRNA from 1 species
CGGACUGGAGUCUGCAACCCGACUCCACGAAGCUGGAUUCGCUAGUAAUCGCGCAUCAGCCACGGCGCGGUGAAUACGUUCCCGGGCCUUGUACACACCGCCCGUCAAGCCAUGGGAGGCCGGGGGUACCUGAAGUGCGUAACCGCGAGGAUCGCCCUAGGGUAAAACUGGUGACUGGGGCUAAGUCGUAACAAGGUAUC